rnacentral:rRNA from 1 species
UGGGGAAUAUUGCACAAUGGGGGAAACCCUGAUGCAGCGACGCCGCGUGAGCGAAGAAGGCUUUCGAGUCGUAAAGCUCUGUCCUAUGAGAAGAUAAUGACGGUACCAUAGGAGGAAGCCCUGGCUAAAUACGUGCCAGCAGCCGCGGUAAUACGUAUGGGGCGAGCGUUGUCCGGAAUUAUUGGGCGUAAAGGGUACGUAGGCGGUUUUUUAAGUCAGGUGUCAAAGCGUGGAGCUUAACUCCAUUAAGCACUUGAAACUGAAAGACUUGAGGGAAGGGGAGGGAAGUGGAAUUCCUAGGGGAGCGGUGAAAUGCGUAGAUAUUAGGAUGAAUACCGGUGGCGAAGGCGACUUUCUGGACUUUUACUGACACUCAGGUACGAAAGCAUGGGGAGCAAACAGG